rnacentral:rRNA from 1 species
AUUGAACACUGGCGGUAGGCCUAACACAUGCAAGUCGAACGAGUGGCGGACGGGUGAGGAAUACAUCGGAAUCUACUCUGUCGUGGGGGAUAACGUAGGGAAACUUACGCUAAUACCGCAUACGAUUGAAUGCGCCGAGGUCGGAUUAGCUAGUUGGGGGGGUAAAGGCCCACCAAGGCGACGAUCCGUAGCUGGUCUGAGAGGAUGACAAGAAAAACGGGAACGGAGAAACGGUCAAGACUCCUAGGGGAGGAAGCAGUGGGUAAGAGUGGACAAGGGGGGAAAGCUUGACGCAGCCAUACCGCGUGGAUGAAGAAGGCCUUCGGGUUGUAAAGCACUUUUGGUGGGAAAGCGGUACCCAAAGAAGAAGCACCGGCUAACUCCGUGCCAGCAGCGGCGGUAAGAC